rnacentral:rRNA from 1 species
AUAGGGUGCGUUAAUGGGCGUCGAGCGGCGGACGGGUGAGUAAUGCCUAGGAAAUUGCCUUGAUGUGGGGGAUAACCAUUGGAAACGAUGGCUAAUACCGCAUGAUGCCUACGGGCCAAAGAGGGGGACCUUCGGGCCUCUCGCGUCAAGAUAUGCCUAGGUGGGAUUAGCUAGUUGGUGAGGUAAUGGCUCACCCAGGCGACGAUCCCUAGCUGGUCUGAGAGGAUGAUCAGCCACACUGGAACUGAGACACGGUCCAGACUCCUACGGGAGGCAGCAGUGGGGAAUAUUGCACAUGGGCGAAUGCUGAUGCAGCCAUGCCGCGUGUAUGAAGAAGGCCUUCGGGUUGUAAGUACUUUCAGUUGUGAGGAAGGUGUGUAGUUAAUAGCUGCGCAUCUUGACGUUAGCACAGAAGAAGCACCGGCUAACUCCGUGCCAGCAGCCGCGGUAAUACGGAGGUGCGAGCGUUAAUCGGAAUACUGGGCGUAAGCGCAUGCAGUGGUUCAUUAAGUCAGAUGUGAAGCCCGGGCUCACCUCGGACUGCAUUUGAAACUGGUGAACUAGAGUGCUGUAGAGGGGGUAGAAUUCAGUGUAGCGGUGAAUGCGUAGAGAUCUGAAGGAUACCAGUGGCGAAGCGGCCCCUGGACAGAACUGACACUCAGAUGCGAAAGCGUGGGGAGCAACAGGAUUAGAUACCUGGUAGUCACGCCGUAACCGAUGUCUACUUGGAGGUGUGGCCUGAGCCGUGGCUUUCGAAGCUACGCGUUAGUAAACCGCCUGGGGAUACGUCGCAGAUUAAACUCAAUGA